CAAAAUACAGUCCCUUAAAAGUUACUCCAAUGCACCAUCUAGUGCUUCACUGGGGCUCUCACAGAUUCAUACCUCAUGUAUUCCUCUGAAUCAGUGUUUGACAACCUUUUUGAUACUAGGGACCGGCUUGCUGCCUUCCUAAACUGUGUCAGGGAGAUCUCAGGGACCGGCGCCGAUCCACAGAUUGGUUGUUGAGAAACACCGCUCUAGGCAAUAAUACAGUGCAGUAGAUCCAAAGAACUCAGUGCACUUUCCCAGCCUCACAACACGCCCUCCGUGAAGUAGGUAAGUUGUUAUUUAUUAUUAUUAUUUACUUAUUUGUUGUAUUGGGAUAGCCUCUAGGAGCACCCCACUCCUGGAUCAGUGCUAGGCACUGUGAAAACACAGAACAAAAGACAGACCCUGCCCCAAGGAGCUUACAAUUUUUAACUUGCCUACAAUUUUGUCUUAUUAACUUCAUUUCACAGAUGGAUGAGAAGCGAGGUUGAGAAACUUGCCCAGGAUCUCCCCAUGAGUCACUGGCAGAGCCAGAAACAGAAUCUGGAAGUCUUGUCUACCAGAGCUGUGCCCUGACCACUAGACAACGCUGCCAUCUGCAUUAACUGGAAUUAAUUCAUUUAGCCAUUUCUAUUAACUGGAAAUCUUGGGAUCUCCAGGAUAAAAUUACCUUAACAGAUCAUCUGUGAGUUCUUACAGAUGCUAAGGACCAGACUCUCAGCCGCUGUAAAUAUGCAUAGGCAAUUGAUUUACACCUCCUGAAGAUCUAGUUGUCUUGCUCCACAAGAACACAGACAGGAUCCUUCCUAGGAGUUUAGAAUGCGACAUUGCUUCACUGUGGUCCCGCGCUCGCAAUGCCACGCGUCGCCUGGGGAAAUGCAUCGGCUGCCGCUGGGAGUGGUGUGAGGAGCGCCAGGAGCUGGGAGUCCUGGUGCCGCAGAUCUGGUCCGACAACAACACUAUCGUCACCCCGAGCGCCAGGGGCAUGCUGGAGAGGACCCUGAAGGCAGCCAUCCAUUCACUGUACAUGGAAACCCUGAAGCGUAAACUGGGCCAGG